rnacentral:tRNA from 1 species
GCCUGGGUGGCGGAAUUGGUAGACGCAAGGGACUUAAAAUCCCUCGUUCUGAUGAACGUGCGGGUUCGACCCCCGCCCCAGGCA